GAGUGGCGCAGCGGUAGCGCAGUUGACUGUUAAUCAAUGGGUCGCCGGUUCGAAUCCGGCCU
rnacentral:tRNA from 1 species